GAAACAACUGAUGGAGAUUUGACCACAUUUUUGUCUCUUAUAAAUACCUGGGAGAACACCCCUCCUAAUUGGGUGGGUUCAGAUCCUUGUGAUGAUUGGGUUGGAAUCAAGUGCAAGAAUUCACACAUUACAUCAAUAACAUUAUCAAGCACCAGUUUGGCUGGUCAGCUUUCUGGAGAUAUUGGAUCACUAUCUGAAUUAGAGACUUUGUAAGUAUUUUAUUUUGAGUAUGUGCUUGUACCAUAUCAAAUUUAAGUCACACCUGGAGGAUGUCAAACACUGCUCAG